rnacentral:snRNA from 1 species
AUUUCUGGGAGGAAAACUUGCCAGAUCCACAAGCAAGUGGAAGUUAAUGUGAUUGCAAAGGUGGUUUCUCAGGGAAAUGUUGGUCUAUCAUAUUCUAGAUAUACUGAUUCCUGUGGUUCCGCAAAUGUCAGAAAUUCAAUUCCAUAAUUUCUGAUUAGUAGGGGAGCUCCCUCUUGUUCUUCCCUAA